rnacentral:rRNA from 1 species
AUUGAACGCUGGCGGCAGGCCUAACACAUGCAAGUCGAGCGAGCGGCGGACGGGUGAGUAAUGUCUGGGGAACUGCCCGAUAGAGGGGGAUAACUACUGGAAACGGUGGCUAAUACCGCAUACUAUCGGAUGAACCCAGAGGGGAUUAGCUAGUAGGUGGGGUAAAGGCUCACCUAGGCGACGAUCUCUAGCGGGUCUGAGAGGAUGAUCAGCCACACUGUGACUGAGACACGGCCCAUACUCCUACGGGAGGCAGCAGUGGGGAAUAUUGCACAAGGGGCGCAAGCCUGAUGCAGCCAUGCCGCGUGUAUGAAGAAGGCCUUAGGGUUGUAAAGUACUUUCAGCGGGGCGGCGUUACCCGCAGAAGAAGCACCGGCUAACUCCGUGCCAGCAGCCGCGGUAAUUC